UGUAGUCUCUCUCUCUGUGUCCUGUAGUCUCUCUCUCUGUCUGUGUGUCCUGUAGUCUCUCUGUGUCCUGUAGUCUCUCUCUGUGUAUCCUGUAGUCUCUCUCUCUCUCUGUGUCCUGUAGUCUCUCUGUGUAUCCUGUAGUCUCUCUCUCUCUCUCUCUCUCUCCCUGUGUCCUGUAGUAUCUCUCUCUCUGUGUCCCGUAGUCUCUCUCUCUGUGUCCUGUAGUCUCUCUCUCUCUGUGUGUCCUGUAGUCUCUCUGGGGCGACAUGGCUCAGGCAGUAAGAGCGGUCGUCUGGCAGUCGGAGGGUUGCCGGUUCGAUCCCCCGCCCGGGCUGUGUCGAAGUGUCCCUGAGCAAGACACCUAACCCCCAAAUGCUCCUGACGAGGUGGUCGGUGCCUUGCAUGGCAGUCAAUCGCUGUCGGUGUGUGAGUGUGUGUAUGAAUGGGUGAAUGAGAAGCAUAAAUUGCACAGCGCUUUGGAUAAAGGCGCUAUAUAAAUGCCAACCAUUUACCGUUUGAAUUCACAGAGAGAAACGGAGAGCUGGAGGGGACAGUGGGGGGCACUGUCGCCCCCCUCACCACGGAGCAGGUGCGGAAGGUCCUGCUGGGGAAGAUGAAGGGCAUCCAGGGUCACUAUAACUCCUGCUACAUGGACUCCACCCUCUUCGGCCUUUUCGCCUGCUCCUCCGUGCUGGACUCCCUGCUGUUCAUGGCCACACACAGGCAGGAAGCUGCCAUUCAGACCACCCUGCUGCAGCAGAUCGUCAACCCUCUGCGCAGGUAUGGCUUUGUUCCCAGUUGCAACGUGAUGAAACUGCGCAAACAGCUGCAGCAGGAAGGCUACAGUGACCACACCUUCGCUACAGAUGAGAAAGAUCCGGAAGAGUUCCUGACUCUCGUUGUCCAGAAAAUCCUGCAAUUGGACCCACUCCUCAAACUCAGCACCGCAGAGGGGAAGGUGCAGGAGAACUCCUGCUACCAGAUCUUCCUGGAUCAGAAGCACACGCUGGUCCUGCCCACCGUGCAGCAGCUGUUUGAGCACUCUCUCCACUGGUCUGGGCUUGCGCUGGCCGAGAUCCCAUCCUGCCUCAUCCUGCAGAUGCCGCGUUUCGGCAAGAACUUCAAGAUGUUCGACAAGAUCAUCCCAUCCCUGGAGCUGGACAUCAGCGACAUCCUGUCAGAGAGUCCUCGAGAGUGCGUGUUGUGUGGUGAGCUGGCUGGUUUGGCGUGCGCUGACUGCUUCACAGAUCCAACUUUCGGGAGGACAGGUUUCAAACUGUUUUGCCUCACCUGCUCUGAAAAGGUUCACUUGCACCCCACGAGGAAGGCCCACCAGCCCUCCCGUGUCCGGCUGCCGAAGGGGUACCCCCAGGGGGCCCGGCCCCCCCUGCCCAGGGAGAAGCUGCAGCUGUUCGCCGUGCUGUGCAUCGAGACCAGCCACUACGUCUCCUUCGUCCGACACGGCCCCCGCCCCCAAGACUGGCUCUUCUUCGACAGCAUGGCUGACAGAGAGGGCGACCAGGACGGGUACAACAUCCCGCAGGUGCAGGAAUGCCCUGAGGUGGAGCGCUACCUGCAGAUGAGCCCUGCCGAGCUGGCCUGUCAGCUGCCCCGCGAGAUGGAGGGCGUGGCCAAGCGCCUCUUCUGCGACGCCUCCAUGUACCUGUACCAGAGCCCCAGCAUGUGCCUCUACCGCUGAGCAGAGCGCACCUGCACCUCACCUGUACCUCACCUGCACCUCACCUGUACCUCACCUGUAUCUCACCUGUAUCUCACCUGUACCUCACCUGCACCUCACCUAUAACUCACCUGUACCUCACCUAUAACUCACCUGCACCUCACCUGUACCUCACCUAUAACUCACCUGUACCU